GAUGAACGCUAGCGGCAGGCCUAAUACAUGCAAGUCGAACGGUGUCUUCGGACAUAGUGGCGCACGGGUGCGUAACACGUAUGCAACCUACCUUACAUUGGGGGAUAGCCUUUCGAAAGGGAGAUUAAUACCGCAUAAGACAGUAGCUGGGCAUCCAGCAGCUGUUAAAGAUUUAUCGAUGUAAGCUGGGCAUGCGUCCAAUUAGCUAGUUGGUGAGGUAACGGCUCACCAAGGCAAUGAUCGGUAGGGGAACUGAGAGGUCAAUCCCCCACCCUGGCACUGAGAUACGGGCCAGACUCCUACGGGAGGCAGCAGUAGGGAAUAUUGGGCAAUGGACGCAAGUCUGACCCAGCCAUGCCGCGUGCAGGAUGAAGGCGUUAUGCGUUGUAAACUGCUUUUAUACAGGAAGAAACGACUCUUGCGAGGGGCAUUGACGGUAUUAUAUGAAUAAGCACCGGCUAACUCCGUGCCAGCCGCCGCCGUAAUAC
rnacentral:rRNA from 1 species